GUAGCUGGCUAGGUUAGUCCCCUGUUAAAUCCACCGAAUUAAUCGUUGGAUUGCGGGGGAUACUGCUUGGCUAGGGGACGAGAGAGGCAGACGGUAUUUCCGGGGUAGGGGUGAAAUCCUAUAAUCCCGGGAAGACCACCAGUGGCGAAGGCUGUCUGCUAGAACGCGCCCGACGGUGAGGGAUGAAAGCUGGGGGAGCGAACCGGAUUAGAUACCCGGGUAGUCCCAGCUGUAAACGAUGCAGACUAGGUGUUUGGACGGCCACGUGCCGUUCUAGUGCCGCAGGGAAGCUGUUAAGUCUGCCGCCUGGGGAGUACGAUCGCAAGAUUGAAACUUAAAGGAAUUGGCGGGGGAGCACCACAAGGGGUGAAGCUUGCGGUUUAAUUGGAGUCAACGCCGGAAAUCUCACCGGGAGCGACAGCAGAGUGAAGGCCAGAUUAAAGGUCUUGCCAGACAAGCUGAGAGGAGGUGCAUGGCCGUCGCCAGUUCGUGCCGUGAGGUGUCCUGUUAAGUCAGGCAACGAUCGAGACCCGCAUCCACUGUUGCUACUAGCUUUGUGCUGGGCACACUGUGGAGACCGCCACUGAUAAAGUGGAGGAAGGAGCGGGCCACGGCAGGUCCGCAUGCCCCGAA
rnacentral:rRNA from 1 species